UAAAGUGUAGGACUAAUGUGUAGAUACCCAAAAGGGUAACCUUAGUUAAUGAUGGGCUAACUAAGGUUACAUAGAUGUAACCAUGGUUACAAGCUUGUGACUCUUGAGUUAUGUAACUAAUGUGACUCUUGGGUUAUGUAACUCUUUUGUUAUAAAGUGGGGGUUAUGGUUCCCACAUUAUAGUAAGACAAGACUCUUCUUCCUCCCAUUGAAUCAAGAGCAAAAACACCAUUGUUGUCUUGCAAAUAAUUGUGAAAAACCAUAUACCAACCUUUGGUAAUUGUCAUAUUAUUAUUGUGAAACUAUACACAUAUUUCUUAAGACUUGUGAGGGAUUAUUGUGGUGAUACAAACUUCAAGAAAUCUUGAAGAAAAGGAUCAAGGAG
rnacentral:lncRNA from 1 species